CAGCUUCCCCGAGGGAAAGGUGGAAAAGCCGAAGGGCCUCAGGGAAAACUUCCCAAUUGAGUUUUUCCAGGAUUUGUAAGAGGCAGUUUUUCACUUGGGUGGUGACGGCGUUUACCAAGCCAAGUAAAGUUACAAACCCGCUGACCCAGUGAGGUAGGUAGAGAUGAUACAGCAUCCCUUGCAACAGGCUCCUAAGUGUUAUUCAUCCUCCUCAUUGCCACCAGUGGUCAUCAUCCUGGCAUCUCCAAGAGUUACGUCUUCCAAGGCACAUGAGCCAGGCUACAACUUUAACAACAUGUCAUGCUGAUGCCACUACAUAUUUGCUAAUUUUUAGUUUACUAAAGAAACUGGCUACAGCGUGUCUUUGGCGUGAGAUCCAGAAGCAUCCAGUGACCUGAGGUCAAGCCCGGAGUGCAGUAAUGAGAAACUACCUCUGCCACUAGACCCCUUACUUGUGGAGCCCUAUAAGUAUUAAUUCUCUAUUGGGUCCUAUACAACAUCUACAUGCAGCCACCCAGUGAACUGGUAUGAUGAUAUGGACUCAAGUCCCAGCAAUAUGCAGAUGAUACAUUGUUCUUCUUACCAUUCACCACAUACAGCUAUGCCACU